GAUGAACGCUGGCGGCGUGCCUAAUACAUGCAAGUCGAGCGAACAGAUGAGGAGCUUGCUCCUCUGACGUUAGCGGCGGACGGGUGAGUAACACGUGGAUAACCUACCUAUAAGACUGGGAUAACUUCGGGAAACCGGAGCUAAUACCGGAUAAUAUAUUGAACCGCAUGGUUCAAUAGUGAAAGACGGUUUUGCUGUCACUUAUAGAUGGAUCCGCGCCGCAUUAGCUAGUUGGUAAGGUAACGGCUUACCAAGGCAACGAUGCGUAGCCGACCUGAGAGGGGGAUCGGCCACACUGGAACUGAGACACGGUCCAGACUCCUACGGGAGGCAGCAGUAGGGAAUCUUCCGCAAUGGGCGAAAGCCUGACGGAGCAACGCCGCGUGAGUGAUGAAGGUCUUCGGAUCGUAAAACGCUGUUAUUAGGGAAGAACAAAUGUGUAAGUAACUAUGCACGUCUUGACGGUACCUAAUCAGAAAGCCACGGCUAACUACGU
rnacentral:rRNA from 1 species